rnacentral:rRNA from 1 species
UGUCGGUAAAACUCGUGCCAGCAACCGCGGUUAUACGAAAGGCCUAAGUUGAUGAAAUACGGCGCAAAGAGUGGUUAGGAUCCUAUCCAAUUAAAGCUAAACCCCCUCCUGGUUGUUUCAAGCCUAUGAGACCCUGAAACACAACUACGAAAGUGACUUUAUAUUCCUGAUUCCACGAAAGCUAGGAAACAAACUGGGAUUAGAUACCCCACUAUGA